CCUCCAGUGAGGAGCGGACCUCGGUGCUGCAAAGGCACAUUGCAGGGCCCACGCUGCGCAGAGCUGACACUGCGCAGGUCCGAGGUAGGGGGCUAGCUGCGGGCUCGCGGGAUACGGGGGAGCCUGGGAAUGGUAGGGUUCACUUUGGGACUGGCAAUCCACUGCAUAAAGGACAUCCUAGAAGUCUCCUGUUGCACGUCAGGGGACCCUGCUGAGGCCCAAAAGCCGGGUGAGCCCAGCACGACAGUGGUGGAUUCCCGGGCACGGAGAUCAAGGCCGGAGAUGGCGGCCGAGUGCUGUCUCGGAGGCCCAAGAGUCGGGCUGAUUUUGGCCAUGGCAUGGAUUUUGUAGUUCAGAAGUUCGACCAUCAGGGUGUGACCACCAGAACUGAGGAAGUAGGAAGAAAAGACACCACUGUAUGCUAGUCCUAAACUGGGGCUGACACUGACAAGGUCAGAUAUUUGGUUGCAUGAUGAGAAAAGUGUUUGCCAGCUUUAUAUAUAGUACAAACACUGAAUUAAUAUAACUGUGUGCAAACAGUAUUUGGUUUUUAUAUUUCAGAUCUUUUCAGCAUGCUAGGACUAGAAGAGGGAUGGAAAGCAACAUAUGCCAACCUGCCAGAUUCCAUAAACACAACUAUUUGAGGAAGUUCUGGUAAAAACGUACAAGCAGUAUGAGUACCACUUACUAACAUUUGUAACGAUGAUGUUAAUACACUGUAAUCCAAUUCAGGCAAAGUAAACAAGUGUGAAAGAUUCACUUGCCUCUUUGAGCAAUCAAAAUGUAAUUUCCAAAACUCACAUAUAUCUUAAAAUGUAUUUAUUGGUUCAGCGUAUUGAACUGCAAUCUGAAGUAAUGAGUCAAAGCAUCUUGACUAACUCUGAUACAUUCUCUGCCUGUAAGGCUGCAUAGACAUGCAGAUUGUCAAAUCACUUUCCAUACCAUCCAGGGUCUACUGUAUUUUUGCUGAAGAGGAGAGUCCUUGAUCUGUAACUCUUUCCUUUACACUGAAAAGUAACAAGAAGUUAAAUAUAAUAACUCGUGUCUUUCUAUAGAGAUACAACUGUACAUAUGCAAUUGUGAAAAAUUUAGCAUAUUCAUGUUUCCCC
rnacentral:lncRNA from 1 species